rnacentral:rRNA from 1 species
GACGCUGGCGGAUGCUUUACACGCCUGCCAGUGAACGGCAGCAUGGAGAGCUUGCUCUCUGAUGGCGAGUGGCGAACGGGUGAGUAAUAUAUCGGAACGUGCCUAGUAGUGGGGAACAACCAUCCGAAAGGAUGGCUAAUACCGCAUACGACCUACGGGUGAAAGCAGGGGAUCUUCGGACCUUGCGCUAUUAGAGCGGCCGAUAUCUGAUUAGGUAGUUGGUGGGGUAAAGGCCUACCAAGCCGACGAUCAGUAGCUGGUCUGAGAGGACAAUCAGCCACACUGGAACUGAGACACGGUCCAGACUCCUACGGGAGGCAGCAGUGGGGAAUUUUGGACAAUGGGGGAAACCCUGAUCCCAGCCAUUCCGCGUGAGUGAAGAAGGCCUUCGGGUUGUAAAGCUCUUUCGUGAGGGAAGAAAUUUUACUGUCGAAUAAACAGUAAAGAUGACGGUACCUUAAGAAGAAGCACCGGCUAACUACGUGCCAGCAGCCGCGGUAAUACGUAGGGUGCGAGCGUUAAUCGGAAUUACUGGGCGUAAAGCGUGCGCAGGCGGUCUUAUAAGUCAGAUGUGAAAUCCCCGAGCUCAACUUGGGAACUGCGUUUGAAACUGUAAGACUAGAGUGUGUCAGAGGGAGGUAGAAUUCCACGUGUAGCAGUGAAAUGCGUAGAGAUGUGGAGGAAUACCAAUGGCGAAGGCAGCCUCCUGGGAUAACACUGACGCUCAUGCACGAAAGCGUGGGGAGCAAACAGGAUUAGAUA